CAGAGAUGCAGCUUCUGGGUCUGGCCUGUCUUACCAUCAAAACCCUUAUGGCCGUCAGAAACAUCUCCAGGAGUAGAGCACCUUUUGCUGAGGUGAACCUGAAUGUUGUCGGACAGCUGCAGAUCUCCCAGUUGUCAGAGGAACUAGAGAAAAAGGAAGAAAAAACUGUGGCACUGGAAGGUAACAAUGAUAAUCUAUUGCAUUGGAUCUCCAAACAUGACCAUGAUAUCCUGGAGAAGAUCACAGAUGCAGAAAAUGAAUGCUAA
rnacentral:lncRNA from 1 species